GGAUGGACGCUGGCGGCGUGCCUAAUACAUGCAAGUCGAACGAACUUCCGUUAAUUGAUUAGGACGUGCUUGCACUGAAUGAGAUUUUAACACGAAGUGAGUGGCGGACGGGUGAGUAACACGUGGGUAACCUGCCCAGAAGCAGGGGAUAACACCUGGAAACAGAUGCUAAUACCGUAUAACAGAGAAAACCGCCUGGUUUUCUUUUAAAAGAUGGCUCUGCUAUCACUUCUGGAUGGACCCGCGGCGCAUUAGCUAGUUGGUGAGGUAACGGCUCACCAAGGCGAUGAUGCGUAGCCGACCUGAGAGGGUAAUCGGCCACAUUGGGACUGAGACACGGCCCAGACUCCUACGGGAGGCAGCAGUAGGGAAUCUUCCACAAUGGACGCAAGUCUGAUGGAGCAACGCCGCGUGAGUGAAGAAGGGUUUCGGCUCGUAAAGCUCUGUUGUUAAAGAAGAACGUGGGUGAGAGUAACUAUUCACCCAGUGACGGUAUUUAACCAGAAAGCCACGGCUAACUACGUGCCAGCAGCCGCGGUAAUACGUAGGUGGCAAGCGUUAUCCGGAUUUAUUGGGCGUAAAGCGAGCGCAGGCGGUCUUUUAAGUCUAAUGUGAAAGCCUUCGGCUCAACCGAAGAAGUGCAUUGGAAACUGGGAGACUUGAGUGCAGAAGAGGACAGUGGAACUCCAUGUGUAGCGGUGAAAUGCGUAGAUAUAUGGAAGAACACCAGUGGCGAAGGCGGCUGUCUGGUCUGUAACUGACGCUGAGGCUCGAAAGCAUGGGUAGCGAACAGGAUUAGAUACCCUGGUAGUCCAUGCCGUAAACGAUGAUUACUAAGUGUUGGAGGGUUUCCGCCCUUCAGUGCUGCAGCUAACGCAUUAAGUAAUCCGCCUGGGGAGUACGACCGCAAGGUUGAAACUCAAAAGAAUUGACGGGGGCCCGCACAAGCGGUGGAGCAUGUGGUUUAAUUCGAAGCUACGCGAAGAACCUUACCAGGUCUUGACAUCUUCUGCCAACCUAAGAGAUUAGGCGUUCCCUUCGGGGACAGAUGACAGGUGGUGCAUGGUGUCGUCAGCUCGUGUCGUGAGAUGUUGGGUUAAGUCCCGCAACGAGCGCAACCCUUAUUACUAGU
rnacentral:rRNA from 1 species